rnacentral:rRNA from 1 species
GAUGAACGCUGGCGGCGUGCUUAACACAUGCAAGUCGAACGAUGAAGCCCAGCUUGCUGGGUGGAUUAGUGGCGAACGGGUGAGUAACACGUGAGUAACCUGCCCUUGACUCUGGGAUAAGCCUGGGAAACUGGGUCUAAUACUGGAUAUGACUUCUCAUCGCAUGGUGGGGGGUGGAAAGAUUUAUUGGUCUUGGAUGGACUCGCGGCCUAUCAGCUUGUUGGUGAGGUAAUGGCUCACCAAGGCGACGACGGGUAGCCGGCCUGAGAGGGUGGCCGGCCACACUGGGACUGAGAAACGGCCCAGACUCCUACGGGAGGCAGCAGUGGGGAAUAUUGCACAAUGGGCGCAAGCCUGAUGCAGCGACGCCGCGUGAGGGAUGACGGCCUUCGGGUUGUAAACCUCUUUCAGUAGGGAAGAAGCGAGAGUGACGGUACCUGCAGAAGAAGCGCCGGCUAACUACGUG